rfam:Schistosoma haematobium scaffold242_47, whole genome shotgun sequence.
ACUCAGCUGACGAGUUCCGAAUAGGACGAGACUCUAGUUCUGGGU